GCUCCAAUAGCGUAUAUUAAAGUUGUUGCAGUUAAAAAGCUCGUAGUUGGAUUUGUGGCAGUCGCAUGCGGCCGGCAUUCGUGUCGGUGUUUGCUCGCGUCGCCAUCCUUGGGUGGAACCUGUGUGGCAUUAGGUUGUCGUGCAGGGGAUGCCAUCAUUUACUGUGAAAAAAUUAGAGUGUUCAAAGCAGGCUUAUGCCG
rnacentral:rRNA from 1 species